rnacentral:sRNA from 1 species
GCCAAGCACGGUGGUGUAUGCCUGUAAUCCCAGCAGCUCAGGAGGCUAAGACAGGAGGAUCAUGAGUUCAAAGCCAGCCUCAGGAAAAUUGAGGUGCUAAGCAACUCAAUGAGACCCUGUCUCUA